UCCAACGGUAGAGCGCCGGAUUCCAAAUCCGAUGGUUGGGGGUUCGAAUCCCUCCUGCC
rnacentral:tRNA from 4 species